rnacentral:rRNA from 1 species
AUGGCAUCCGCGGCUCUUGGGAAGAAAGAAGACAUGGAGGUGAGGGAGAGAAGGGAGAAAGGUGCCGGGCGACCUAGGCACGGGCUCGACGGAGCCGGGCGACUGCGGACGAGCGCGGGGAGACAGAGGGAUCCGACGCGGCGACGCAGAGUCCUUAAAUAUUCAGACUCAUCAUAUUCCGUUCUUCGUCCUGCAGGUGAAGGAGAAGAGGAAGGCAGCACGUCGCCAGCCGGUUGGGUGACACCAGCCAGGCCACGGCUGGAGCAGCACAGGUGGCGCAGCCACUUCGGCAAGUACAAAUGA